rnacentral:rRNA from 1 species
UACGUAGGGUGCAAGCGUUGUCCGGAAUUAUUGGGCGUAAAGAGCUCGUAGGUGGUUUGUCGCGUUGUUCGUGAAAACCGGGGGCUUAACCCUCGGCGUGCGGGCGAUACGGGCAGACUUGAGUACUGCAGGGGAGACUGGAAUUCCUGGUGUAGCGGUGGAAUGCGCAGAUAUCAGGAGGAAUACCGAUGGCGAAGGCAGGUCUCUGGGCCGAUACUGACGCUGAGGAGCGAAAGCGUGGGGAGCGAACAGG